AGGGACUUAGGUUAACCAAACCAUGGGCCUUCAAAGCCCCAAAUAAGAGCUCACCCCUCUUAGCCCCUG
rnacentral:tRNA from 1 species